AACGAACGCUGGCGGAAUGCUUUACACAUGCAAGUCGAACGAUGAACCUUAGCUUGCUAAGGGGAUUAGUGGCGAACGGGUGAGUAAUGUAUCGGAACGUAUCCAAUAAUGGGGGAUAACUAGUCGAAAGAUUAGCUAAUACCGCAUACGUCCUACGGGAGAAAGCUAGGGACCUUCGGGCCUGGCGUUAAUGGAGCGGCCGAUAUCUGAUUAGCUAGUUGGUGGGGUAAAGGCUCACCAAGGCGACGAUCAGUAGCUGGUCUGAGAGGACGACCAGCCACACUGGAACUGAGACACGGUCCAGACUCCUACGGGAGGCAGCAGUGGGGAAUUUUGGACAAUGGGCGAAAGCCUGAUCCAGCCAUUCCGCGUGAGUGAAGAAGGCCUUCGGGUUGUAAAGCUCUUUCGCAAGAGAAGAAAACUUAAGCUCUAACAUAGCUUGAGGUUGACGGUACCUUGAUAAGAAGCACCGGCUAACUACGUGCCAGCAGCCGCUGUAA
rnacentral:rRNA from 1 species